rnacentral:rRNA from 1 species
AUUGAACGCUGGCGGCAUGCCUAACACAUGCAAGUCGAACGGCAGCACGGUGUGUAGCAAUACACAUGGGUGGCGAGUGGCGGACGGGUGAGUAAUGCUUAGGAAUCUGCCCAAUGGUGGGGGAUAACUAACCGAAAGGUUAGCUAAUACCGCAUACGCCUUUACGGGGAAAGCGGGGGAUCGAAAGACCCCGCGCCGAUGGAUGAGCCUAAGUCCGAUUAGCUAGUAGGUAGGGUAAUGGCCUACCAAGGCGACGAUCGGUAGCCGGUCUGAGAGGACGGCCAGCCACACUGUAACUGAGACACGGUCCAGACUCCUACGGGAGGCAGCAGUGGGGAAUAUUGGACAAUGGGGGAAACCCUGAUGCAGCAAUGCCGCGUGUGUGAAGAAGGCCUGCGGGUUGUAAAGCACUUUCGGUUGGGAAGAAAAGUUUGGCGCUAAUACCGCCGAACCUUGACGUUACCGACAGAAGAAGCACCGGCUAACUCUGUGCCAGCCGCCGCGGUAA